rnacentral:rRNA from 1 species
UACGUAGGGGGCAAGCGUUGUCCGGAUUUAUUGGGCGUAAAGCGCACGCAGGCGGUUCGCCAAGUUUGGAGUGACAGUUGUCGGCUCAACCGACAAAGGACUUCAAAAACUGGUGAACUUGAGGACGAGAGAGGAACAUGGAACUCCAGGUGUAGUAGUGAAAUGCGUAGAUAUCUGGAAGAACACCAAUGGCGAAGGCAAUGUUCUGGCUCGUUUCUGACGCUCAGGUGCGAAAGCCAGGGGAGCAAACGGG